GAUUAUUUAACUUAUUAAAAGUAUUUAUUUUGAAAAUAAAGAAUAGGAAACACCUAAUAAUCU
rnacentral:tRNA from 1 species